rnacentral:sRNA from 1 species
AUUAAAACUCCAAUGAAUUGACNGGGGNCCCGCCCAAGCGGUGGAGNCAUGUGGUUUAAUUCGAAGCAACGCGAAGACCCUUACCAGGUCUUGACAUCCAGAGAAUCCUUUAGAGAUAGAGGAGUGCCUUCGGGAAUUUCUGAGACAGGUGCUGCAUGGCUGUCGUCAGCUCGUGUCGUGAGAUGUUGGGUUAAGUCCCGUAACGAGCGCAACCCUUGUCCUUAGUUGCCAGCGAUUCGGUCGGGAACUCUAAGGAGACUGCCGGUGACAAACCGGAGGAAGGUGGGGACGACGUCAAGUCAUCAUGGCCCUUACGACCUGGGCUACACACGUGCUACAAUGGGCUGUACAAAGGGUUGCCAAGCCGCGAGGUGGAGCUAAUCUCAUAAAACAGUUCGUAGUCCGGAUUGGAGUCUGCAACUCGACUCCAUGAAGUCGGAAUCGCUAGUAAUCGUGAAUCAGAAUGUCACGGUGAAUACGUUCCCGGGCCUUGUACACACCGCCCGUCACACCACGGGAGUGGGUUGCACCAGAAGUGGCUAGCUUAACCUUCGGGAGAGCGGUCACCACGGUGUGAUUCAUGACUGGGGUGAAGUCGUAACAAGGUAGCCCUAGGGGAACCUGGGGCUGGAUCACCUCCUUAAACGAUAUUGUCCCGCUUCGUAAGUGCUCACACGCAUUGCUUGAUUAGACUUUGAUUUAGAAUUCAGAAGAAAAGUAUUUCUUUGAAAUAUUUUUCUUCUGAUUUUUACAAUCAGACGUUCUUUAACAAGGUGGAAAGUAAAGUUGUAAUACUGCAAAUUAAUUGACGAGUAUGUAACAAAAGUCUAUCUGACUAACUAACAUACCUGUCCGGCGAAUUUAUUGUUUUUACAAAUCAUGAGAUCCAGUGUUGUUUGGUUCGGUCUGGACUGAACGACAUAAUCGAAAAUANGGUAAGUCGUGCACAUUCAGUUGCUUGAGUUANCCUUNANAGGGGGAGCUAAGCGCAUANCGGUGG